rnacentral:misc_RNA from 1 species
GAUGAAGAACGCAGCGAAAUGCGAUAAGUAAUGUGAAUUGCAGAAUUCAGUGAAUCAUCGAAUCUUUGAACGCACCUUGCGCUCCUUGGUAUUCCGAGGAGCAUGCCUGUUUGAGUGUCAUUAAAUUCUCAACCUCAUCAGUUUUGUUAUGAAGCUGUGUGAGGCUUGGAUGUGGGGGUUUGUGCAGGCUGCCUCAGUGCGGUCUGCUCCCCUGAAAUGUAUUAGCGAGUUCCAACUGGGCUCCGUCUAUUGGUGUGAUAAUUAUUUACGCCGUGGAUUGGGCUUAGACUUGCUUCUAACCGUCCGCAAGGACAAUCUUUUGACAAUUUGACCUCAAAUCAGGUAGGACUACCCGCUGAACUUAAGCAUAUCAAUAAGCGGAGGA